rnacentral:misc_RNA from 1 species
GAAAAAAUGAAAAUUUUAUUAAAAUACCAAACUAGCAACUACAAGUAAAAGUCAAGGUUAAACCAAACUACAUCACUGUAUCAAUGUUGGAUUUGAUUAUUUAUACAUAUAGCCCUGAAAAAAAAUGGAAAAGAGGAACGAUUGCAGUUAAAAUCAUUGUCGAGCUUUGCACCAACAGCUUCAUUGCCUGCCACACAUUUGCUGCAUACUGAAAGAGGCUUGAUUCAUCAUGCCAUUGAAUGUAAUCCCAAAGGGGCUCAGCCCAUAAUUCAUUGCAUCAGCAGCAUAAUAAGGUGCUACGUAUCCUUCCAUCCCCACCUGCACACCAGCCCAAUAUGGAUUAUAUGCAUAAGGGCCAACAGGCAUCAAAAAGAUCUGAGACUCAUCUUGAGAAUUUUUUAUUCCUCUCUUUUUCUUUCCUCCCUUGCUGAAAACCAAUUUUUGCUGAACUUGAUCCUCAGCCACUUUCCUAUUCUUUCCUCCCUCGCUAGAAACCACCACUUCCUGCACUUCUUCCUCAACCACCAGAACACUUCCUUGUGAUGCUGUAUCCUUCAUUGUCGUUGACCCAAUAGUGGCUACAGAUACAUCAGCUGCUCUUGUAGUUCUAGCUUUUUUAGCAAUCUGGUAUGGAUCAUCAAGAAGCUUCCUUUUGUUUGCCUCGUCUUCUAUAUUAUUAAGUGUUGCCUUCUUCGCUUCCUGAAAUGAUCCUGCAGGUGGUUUUGUUGUAGAAAUCUGAGCUUGCGAACAGUGAGCAGAUUCCACAUCCAUAACUCGAAAAGAGUUGCUUUUGGCAUUUUCACCGCCACUGCUAUUACCACAACUAGACUCCACAAAGCAAUUAAUUGUAUCUCUAAGUGUCAUGUUUGGAAUCAGAGAAUCAGCAAGGACGUUUGCUGCUCCACAUACACAUUUCAACUUAAAGAUGAUUAGAUGGUCUCUAAUGCAUUUAUCACAAAAGCUCUUGAAACAGCAUUUGCUAGUCAAUACAGCAUCUUUCAUUACUUGCUUGCACAAGGGGCAGAGGAGUUCUGGUGGAAGAUCACAAACAGACCAGGAUCUCUUUGAAGGGAAGCAGCCAAAAAUUUCUUUCUUAAAAGCAUCAUCAUUAGGCUGCAAAACAGCAGUUGCACCACUUGACAAAACAUAACAGCCAUCUGGGUUUGGCACCAGCAUCGACUUGGGAAUACCAGUAGGAGGCCUUACUCUUUUGAAAUCAUAAUUUGGAUCUCCAUUUGUUGGGCAAUACUGAAUAAAAUGUCCCGGCACCUUACAACUGUGACAUAUAUACCUUCUGGAGGUGUUUUCUUCCACAAUCCACCAAAACUAUGGCCAUCCAUUCUUCCCCAACCCCUACCAUUCACGCCUUGGGUCCUAGAACCCACACCGAUAGAACCUUCAAGCUGCCAGUCCAAGGCUGGAGUCUUGACUAAAGCCUUAAUCUUGCUGUCCUCAUCAGAUUCUACAUCUACAGUUGUCAUGCCAGACUGAGCUGGCUUCAUUCUGGGAAUCCCAAACACAUCGUCCCCAAACCCAUCAUCAUAUCCAAAACUUGCGUCUCCACUACAUUUUGUUGAGGACAAAGUAGUAAUAGUACUUGCAGACACAGAACUAACACCAGAAUUUACGGGGGUGCCUCUGGAUGAAGCAGUAACAACAGUUUCAGUAUUGGAUGAACCAGUACGAUAAGAGGAACUAAGUGGCUGUUGCUUUUCAAUAACAACAAUAGUUGCAGUGUCUAUGGGCUUGCCACGCCUCGUUCCAGGAAUACGGCGAAUCAAGACACGAGUAUUGUUAGGAAUCAACAUAUCAUCAACAUAACAAUCAUUGGUCUGGGCAUUAAUGACCACAAGGUCCAAAUCAGUACCAGAACAUAGACCAUUAGAAUGAGAUUUCAUAUUAGAUUUAUACUUACAUUCAAAAAUUUUCCUUUUCAAAGCAUCAACAGAAAUAACAGAGCCAUCCACAGAGAUGGAAUCAUACUCUUUGGCACUGAAAAAUUUAAAAUAUAUCGGCAUCGAAUUAAACACUAACGAAAGAAUACAAACUUUAAUAUGAGAGAGAGAAAUUGCUAUUUCAUUCGUAUACAAGAGGAUCAAAAACUAUAAUCAAUAUGCGAUCGAAUUGUGAAUUGCCCACAAAAGAUCGGCGAAACAGAAAUUGUUGUACGCCAAUCUGCAGGAUCGUCGACUUAUACGAUUUUCCGAUGCAUAGAGAGCUAAUCUUCAAUUGUCGGCUGCAUUAAUCUUGAAUUUGCCGCCGCCAAGGUUUUUCCGAUACUUUAGGAUGAUAAUUCUUCAAUUGCCGCUACCAAAUUUCCUCUAAUCAGCGAUCGAAAGUUUUUUCCGAUGAGCUACCGAGCAAAGAUUCCUCCGAUGCGAUAGUGAGAGAAGAAAGAGCUUCAAAAAUCAAUGAAUGGAUUGUUUUCGUGCAAGAAUGAUAUUUUAUAGAACAUAGAGACGCGU